AUUGAACGCUGGCGGCAUGCUUUACACAUGCAAGUCGAACGGUAACAGGGAGCUUGCUCCGCUGACGAGUGGCGAACGGGUGAGUAAUGCAUCGGAACGUACCCAGUCGUGGGGGAUAACGUAGCGAAAGUUACGCUAAUACCGCAUACGUCCUGAGGGAGAAAGCGGGGGACCGUAAGGCCUCGCGCGAUUGGAGCGGCCGAUGUCGGAUUAGCUAGUUGGUGGGGUAAAGCCUACCAAGGCGACGAUCUGUAGCGGGUCUGAGAGGAUGAUCCGCCACACUGGAACUGAGACACGGUCCAGACUCCUACGGGAGGCAGCAGUGGGGAAUUUUGGACAAUGGGGGCAACCCUGAUCCAGCCAUGCCGCGUGAGUGAUGAAGGCCUCGGUUGUAAGCUCUGUGGGAGAGAAGAAUAAGUGUAGUGAAUAUUACGAUGAUGAGGUAUCUCCUUAGCAAGCACCGGCUAACUCUGUGCCAGC
rnacentral:rRNA from 1 species